GAUGAAGAACGCAGCGAAAUGCGAUAAGUAAUGCGAAUUGCAGAUUUCAGUGAGUCAUCGAAUCUUUGAACGCACAUUGCGCCCGCCAGUAUUCUGGCGGGCAUGCCUGUUCGAGCGUCAUUUCAACCAUCAAGCCCCCAGGGGCUUGUGCUGGGGCCCUGCGGCUGCCCGCAGGCCCUGAAAACCAGUGGCGGGCUCGCUAGUCACACCGAGCGCAGUAGCACAUCUCGCUCAGGGCGUGCGGCGGGCUCCUGCCGUGAAACCCCCCACUGUAACCCCAAAGGUUGACCUCGGAUCAGGUAGGAAUACCCGCUGAACUUAAGCAUAUCAAUAAGCGGAGGA
rnacentral:misc_RNA from 1 species